AACUCUCAACGACGGAUAUCUUGGCUCUCGCAACGAUGAAGAACGCAGCGAAAUGCGAUACGUAGUGUGAAAUUGCAGAAUUCCGUGAACCAUCGAAAUUUUUGAACGCAUAUUGCGCUCAAGGCUUCGGCCAAGAGCAUGUCUGCCUCAGCGUCG
rnacentral:rRNA from 1 species